UACGAAGGGUGCAAGCGUUAAUCGGAAUUACUGGGCGUAAAGGGUGCGUAGGCGGUUCGUUAAGUCUGUCGUGAAAUCCCCGGGCUCAACCUGGGAAUGGCGAUGGAUACUGGGCAGCUAGAGUGUGUCAGAGGAUGGUGGAAUUCCCGGUGUAGCGGUGAAAUGCGUAGAGAUCGGGAGGAACAUCAGUGGCGAAGGCGGCCAUCUGGGCCGAUACUGACGCUGAGGAGCGAAAGCGUGGGGAGCGAACAGG
rnacentral:rRNA from 1 species